UACACCUUCCCUAUCCAACUUACGGAAAAAGUUUAACUGACGCGACGCCAGUUUCGUUUUUUCCGUAAGUUGAAUACGGAAGGCACACUGUAAAAAAUGAAUGUGAUUUUAACAGUAAAAUAUUGUAAAAACGCUACGGAAAAAAAAUUGUAAAUAGGUUAACAGUAAGUUCCAGUACUAUAUACAGGGAAAAACUGUAAAAGCUCUUACCAGACAUUUUAUGUAAUUUUCACAGUAAAAUGCUGUAAAUUUUACAAUUUUUAGAAGUAAAAAAAGAACAAAUCAAUGUAUAAUUUACAGUCAAAAACUGUAAACUGAUAUUCGCACAAUUCCCUGUGUGACACUCCACAUUUGAAAGUAUUUUGUUAACAAAACUAUUAAGAAACAUGAUUUUUUAAUCAGUUAUGUACAUUAGGGUUUUAUGUUACAUCUUCUGUUGUUUAAUGAAUGUUUAUUGCAUUAUGAAAGUGUUGUGGGUUACCAUGAUGGUGUUUUGCGUUUGCGUGAAUGACUCUUUGCACCCUCUUUACAUUAGUAUUUACUUCAGCUAGUGGAAAAGUUUUUUGUGCUGAACUCUGAUUCUUCAUGUGGCUUUCUCUUUUACCACCUGCAUUAUUAUGGUGGUUGUCAGUAUAUGUUAAAGGUACAAAACAGAUUUUAGUAGUAGUGUGCAUUGUUGAAUUUACUUGUUUACAUUCACAUUUUCUUGUUUGUAAAUUACAGUUUUAUACUGUAAAAUUGACAGUUUGUUCUGUAAAUGUGUUUACAGUUUUUCUGUAUUUUUUACAAUAUUAUUCUGGCAACCACAGCUGCCAAAAUUAUUUUGUAAAAACUACGGAAUAUACAGUGCAGUCUGGCGGAAGCUAGAUAUUUUACUUCAUAACUUGUUAAAUAUGGAUAUUUUUCUUACACAAACACAUCGUUUCACUUCAGAAGGCCUUUAUUAACCCACUGGAGCCGUGUGGAGUACUUUUAUGAUGGAUGGAUGCACUUUCUUCAGCUUCAUACUUGUUGAUCCCACUUCCAUUAUAAAGCUCGGAUGCGUCAGGAUAUUUAUUAAUAUAACUCAGAUUGUGUUCAUCAGAAAGAAGAAAGUCACCUAGGAUGGCUUGAGGAUUUUCGAAGACACCGCUCUGAAGCAUCACCAUGCAACUCUGUUUCUUUGUGAUUCAUCACUCCAACCUCCCAAAAACGUUCAUGUUUUUUUGAGACCGCAAUGGCUUUUUACUUAAAUCUUGCUAAUUUGAAGCCUGAACUCAUUAUUCCCAGCCUAUAAUUCAAUAAAUCACUAUGUGGCAGGUAUUAGCUAUACUAUUAGAAGAUAUUUUGUAGGUUUUAGUGAAAAUGGCCAGAUGGAAUGAGCCGUCUUCUGCAAUCAAACAGGAUAUUGUUGAAAUGGCUAAAUCUGGUCAUUUGGUUUAGGAUAUUGCUCAUGUGCUGGAUGUGAAUGGUCCCAAUGUCCGCAGAAUGACUUCAAAACACAGUGAGAGCACUGUCAUGCAGAAUGGAAAGUGUUGUGGCUGGUCAAGGAAGAUUAGUGAGCAGUUUGACAGGAGGAUGAAAAUACCACCUCAAAACAGCUUCUAAAGACCUGGAUGAGACCUCCAACUUUUGAAUUGUAAGCCAACGACUAUAAGAGUCUGGAUUGAGAGGUUGUGUACCAGUAAAGAAACCAUUUAUCAGUUGUAUCUACUGCAAAAAACACCUUGCAUUUGCAAAGAACAUAAGGAUGAUUGGAGCCACAUUCUGCAGCCCAACAAGUCAAAAUUUAACAAUCAAGCAAUUGAUGGUAUCAGGUAUGUUCAUAGGAGACAACUGGAGUGUUUUAAUACCAAAUGCAUGUGUGGUGCCAUUAAGUACUGCGAAGGAAGCAGUGGUAUUGGGGACACAUGUCUGCAGCAGGUGUUACAAAGUUGUUGGCACUGCGAAAAUGGACCAAUGCUUAGGAAUCCUGCUGAAUACAAUGGGGCCAAGUUUGGAGGAUCUGUUUGGAGAUCAAAUGUGUAUUUUCCAACAUGAUAAUGAUCUCAAACACCACUCAUGCAAUGAAAGUGUUCAUGCUCAGCAUUUUGAAGGCUUCAAGCGGCCUCCUCAGUCCCCUGACCUUAAAGCCAUUUAAAAACCUUUGGGAAAUUAUAAAUCUGAAUUGUGAGAAGUCAUGCAGUUCUUCCAAUGAAGCUCUAACAUUGGGAAGAACUCGAGGAGGAUUGGAAAGAAGUUAAGCAUGACACAUGCACAAAGUUUAGUGGGUCAAUGCCCUGCUGUAAUCAAAACCCAGCAAACAGUGGUCUGACGGCAACGUAUUGUCCCUGGCCAAAAAAUAGUCGCGGUAGGACGGCAUAAUUCGGUAAAAAUGCGUCACAGAAUAGUUCCUAAAAAUGCAUUCAGAUACGUUUGUACAUGUCUGCAGUUCUCUGGGGUUGCAUGUAUAACUGUUACUAUGACUUUUAUCUAUGUGUAGUAUAUAUUAAUUAAUUUAGUAAGAUAACGUCAAAGAUGUCCAUUUAAAUUUCAUUUUGGAACUAUUUUUUCAAUCAUGACAGGACGUGUCGGAGGGACAUUAAACGUCCAAAUGUUUGCUAGGGAGAACCAACAAAUCAUUAAUAACUGUAGUCAAAGUGUGCUUUAUUUCCAGUGAGCUUUUUGUUUUUCUAUGCCUUUUUUGAAUACUACAACAAAACUCAUAUUUAAUUAUAUGCUGGAGUUUGCCUUUCUUGCCAAAUAAUUUUGUCAUUUUAAUACCUUAACCAAGUUUAGUGUAUUUCUCUUCCCAAUAUAACAUACUCCUCAUAUUUUAAUUGUUUAAUAGAACCUGAAGUGUCAUUAAAAGCAAACAGUGUGCAAAUAUUCACUUUUGGCACACAAAAUUAUGUAUAAUUUACAACAUACAAGACACAAGGGAAAGAACUUCAUAUUUAUCUUUAUUCAUAUAGCAGCACAUCUUACAGAAAUAUAACUGCAGGAGUAUACAAAUGUACUGAUUAAAGCAAAAAAAAAAAAAAAAAAAAAA